CCGCUCUAUUGUAUUCAUUCCAAAAUCCCGCUCUAUUGUAUUCAUUCCAAAUCCCGCAUUUUCUAAACCCUAACCCAUGUUCUUCGUCUUCAACCACACCGUACCCUAACCGCCGUUCUUCUUCUUCAGCGACCCUUAACCCCGGUUCUUCUUCUUCUUCAGAACAUAUCAUCACCGGCCGGCUACACUGAAGCAGGUGGGACGAUUUGAGCUUGUUAUAUUUUGGACGAUUGUUCUUCAUCCCGCAUUUUGUAUUGUAUUUUGGACGAUUUUUCUUCAUCCUCCAUUAUUGGCCAUUGUUCUUCAUCCUCUCACGAAAUCAGUUGUUGUCCUCCAAAUCAGUGUGGACGAUUUGGGCUUCCAAAACGGUGUUGUAUUUUGGACGAAAUCAAUUGUUCUUCAUCCGGCAGCACUGAUUAUCUUCUAAAUCAGUUAGGUUUCAUCAUCGUGAAAUCAUGACCAUUCAAAGUAAAUCUACGAAGAUCGAUGUUGAAAAUUAUGUUCAAAUCAAACAAGAGGCUAAUGCAAAACAAGCUCAUAAUACUAAUUUCGGACCUUUUCAACCCAAAAAGUCCAUUACUACUCAGCACAAGAUCUCUCUACUAGCCUGGUACCUACAGUUACCAAGAAACAUGAUCCCAAAGCUUUACUUCUUGAUAAGAGGUCUAUGUCUCGAACCUUCAAGACCUCAACUAAUACUCCAGCACAAGAUCCCGCUACUAACUUGGUACCUACGUUACCAAGAAACAUAAUCCCUAAGCUUUACCUCUUGAUAAGAGGUUUAUGUCUCGAACCUUCAAGACCUCAACUAAUACUCCAGCACAAGAUCCCGCUACUAGCUUGGCACCUCGAGUUACCAAGAAACAUGAUCCCAAAGACCAAGAUGAGCCUUCAAAGAGCAAGGAUGUUGUUGAAGAGACAUGUAAGGAAAAUGAAGAUCCCAAAGAGAGCCUUCAAAGGAAAUAGAGAUAAAACUUCCUUGGAGAAGAAAACAAGUGUGGAAGCCAAGGGGUAAUGUUCAUUGGAAAGAAAAUAUAGAUGUGGAUCCAAAUGAGGUUGUCCAAGUAAAAGAGAUAACAGAGAAUGAGCCUCCCAAAUCAGGAAUAAUGGAGGGGACUUGUACUUGUUUAUUUUCUGUCUGAAUUGUCAACAGAUGGAACCUUUUGUCCACUUGGAGCACAAAAUUGGAAGCGUGUUGAUGAUCAUUACAAGCAAAGAUGCCAAGUGACAAGUCGUCCCCAAAAACCCCGACUCAACAUUUCCCCUAAAGCUAACUCAACUUUAUGUCCAUUUCAUUUUUGAGACUAAGAUCCAAGCGACGAUUCGUCACCUAUUAAACGACGAGUCGUUGUUUUCUUCUGUUUUAUAGUUUUGCGUUUUUCUUUAAGGCAUUUAUUUAGACUUGUAAUACAUUGUAUAUUGUCCUACUACUAUACUUAGUAUGUAGUACAUAUAAUCUAGGUCUAUAUACUCUAAAUGUUCAACAAACCUCCCCCAUUUAGAGUAUAUCAGACCUCGUUCUUCUUUUACAAAUUAAGUAAA